GAUGAACGCUGACCGAAUGCUUAACACAUGCAAGUCAACUUGAACUUCGGUUUGGGUGGCGGACGGGUGAGUAACGCGUAACGAACUUGCCUCACAGCUAGGGACAACAUAUGGAAACGAAUGCUAAUACCUGAUAUUAUGAUUUUAGGGCAUCCUAGAAUUAUGAAAGCUAUAUGCGCUGUGAGAGAGCUUUGCGUCCCAUUAGCUAGUUGGGGAGGUAACGGCUCACCAAGGCGAUGAUGGGUAGCCGGCCUGAGAGGGUGAACGGCCACAAGGGGACUGAGACACGGCCCUUGCCCCUACGGGAGGCAGCAGUGGGGAAUAUUGGACAAUGGACCAAGAGUCUGAUCCAGCAAUUCUGUGUGAUCGAUGAAGUUUUUCGGAAUGUAAAGUACUUUCAGUUGGGAAGAAAAAAAUGACGGUACCAACAGAAGAAGUGACGGCUAAAUACGUG
rnacentral:rRNA from 1 species